GACAGAGGGUGCAAUCGUUGUUCGGAAUUAUUGGGCGUAAAGCGCACGUAGGCGGCUUUGUAAGUUAGAGGUGAAAGCCCGGGGCUCAACUCCGGAAUUGCCUUUAAGACUGCAUCGCUAGAAUUGUGGAGAGGUAAGUGGAAUUCCGAGUGUAGAGGUGAAAUUCGUAGAUAUUCGGAAGAACACCAGUGGCGAAGGCGACUUACUGGACACAUAUUGACGCUGAGGUGCGAAGGCGAGGGGAGCAAACAGG
rnacentral:rRNA from 1 species